GGGUGGGGGUGGGGGGGUCCAUUUAGAUGUGAGGAUUUGUGUGUGUGUGUGUGUGUGUGUGUGUGUGUGUGUGUGUGACUGUGGUCUUUCUUCACUACACAUAUUCUUAGAACAUCUGCGUAGUACAAUGCAUCAUUUUUAGCUGUGUGUGUGGCACGUAAGGUUUGAGUGUGUGCAUGUGUGUGUGUGUGUCUGUGUGUGUGUUUGUGUGUGUGUCUGUAUCUGGUGUGCAUGUGUCACAAAAUAGCCAAAACCUUCCAUCCCAGCGUGUAGACAUCCUCCGUUUCCAGGGCAACAGGAGACGAAUGAGGAAUCUUGUAAAGGACAAGCGUUCUCUGAAGCGUUGAAGUUAAACAUAGAAUGCCUGUUGUAAUUGAUGGGAAGCAGCAAACAGGUCAGGACAAUACCGCAGUGUGUGUGGGUGUGUGUGUUUGUGUGGGUGUGUGUGAUGAGAGAUAGAACACGUGCACAUCUACAAAAAAAGCCUAUGCUGGAAUGAAAGAGUGUUUUCUUAAAUCAAAAGAGACAAACUUCUGGCAGACCUGCUUUAAGCUCUUAAUAGACUUUUACUCCGUGAUCUCAGUGAAACACAACAGCUAUAUGUGUGUGUGUGUGUGUGUGUGUGUGUGUGUGUGUGUGUGUGUGUGUGUGUGUGUGUGUGUGCCUGUGUGUGUGAGUGAGUGUGUGUGUGUGUGCGUGCGCAGCAGUUUAAUGUAAAAUAGCAUUACAAGCACAGAGUUCUUCCGUAAGCUCAGAGCUUUUGAAACAGCAUAUACCAACUAAUCUCAAAUGCAGCUUUGAACUUAUCAAGCACAUAACAACGCAGAACCUUUGCACCUCGUUUACCUCUGGAAGCGUCAAGCCCCUUGAUGUGGAACUACAGGGUACUCCUCGACGAGCCCCUAUCUCACACUAACACUCCAUGCGCUGUUCUCCAGGUCUGUGUUCCCCUGUAAAAUCCCCAACAAAUAGUUUAGAGAUAUUCUUUUUUUUUGGUAAUAAUGUGCUCCAUCAUUGUAAGUCAAGGAUUGGUUUGUCCUUGAAGUGUAUAAGAAAUUGUGUUUGGAGUUGGAUUUUGAAUAAAUGUGUGCUUAAUAGCUUUUAAUUUUGAAUUUUGAAUAUUUUGAAUAUAAGUAAUGGGUAUUUUCUCAAAACUCUAAACUUCUUGAUUUGAAUGAAGGUCAGAUUGGUUGGGAAAAAUGUUUUAACUCGGGUUACUGCUAGAGAGUAUCCCUAAUUGUGUAUUAGUAUAUUCUUCCAUAUGUGAAUGUGUAUGCUUUUCCUCUUUUGUAAUUAUUUUUUGGGGGUUUUGUUUGUAGUUAUUUUUUUGUUUGGGAUUCAUUAACUCCCGUAUCGAUCAUGUGUUGACGCACAGGCAGGGAACUGAAUAUUCCAAAUGAAUGCAAAUAAAUGAAAUUAACAUAAUACUUUUUUCUUGACCAUUCAUUUUUUUAUAGCCUAGGGGGUUAUCCUAUGGGGU
ensembl:lncRNA